rnacentral:rRNA from 1 species
CCUACGGGAGGCAGCAGUGGGGAAUAUUGGGCAAUGGGCGCAAGCCUGACCCAGCAACGCCGCGUGAAGGAAGAAGGCUUUCGGGUUGUAAACUUCUUUUCUCAGGGACGAAGCAAGUGACGGUACCUGAGGAAUAAGCCACGGCUAACUACGUGCCAGCAGCCGCGGUAAUACGUAGGUGGCAAGCGUUAUCCGGAUUUAUUGGGUUUAAAGGGUGCGCAGGCGGAGGUGCAAGUCAGCGGUCAAAUUGCGGGGCUCAACCCCGUACUGCCGUUGAAGCUGCAUCCCUUGAGUGC